rnacentral:sRNA from 1 species
AACAAACAAAACAAAAUUAUUGGUAACGCUCCCCAAGGAGAAACCUCUAGUGGCACCAACAAAACCCCUCCAAAGUCUUGCCACGUCGAUGACGUCUACAAUUGUAAAAGCAGAAAAUGUUGAAGAAGGACAGAGAAAAAUGGGGUUUACCAGGAGGGGAGAGGAGAGAAGAGGAGGUUUUCCAUCUUUUCCCCCCACCCGUCAUGGCUGUCGCUGACGGAUAUAUUAAAGCUUCGAUUAUGCCAUCAUCAGGAGGAGAAGGACCAGGACAACAGGCGGGGAGGACCCUCUGUGUGUUUGCUCAUGUGUCUGUCUGUCUGUCUGUCGUAUCUGUUCGGGGGAGAGGGUGCAGGCAUUGAGGCAGACAACAAAUUGUUAGACGCUA